UGCUCGCUUCAGCAGCACAUAUCUAAAAUUAGAAUACAGAAAAGGUUAGCAUGGCCCCUGUGCAAAGAUGACGUGCAAAUUCGUGAAAUAUUCUCUAUUUUU